UGCAGUCGUACGAGAGUUUUUAACUCAAGUGGCGGACGGGUGAGUAACACGUAAGAAUUUGCCUUUAGGAGGGGGAUAACAACUGGAAACGGUUGCUAAUACCCCAUAUGCUUUCGAGUGAAAUGGUUUUUCCGCCUAGAGAGAAGCUUGCGGCUGAUUAGCUUGUUGGUGAGGUAAUAGCUCACCAAGGCGACGAUCAGUAUCUGGUUUGAGAGGACGAUCAGACACACUGGAACUGAGACACGGUCCAGACUCCUACGGGAGGCAGCAGUAGGGAAUUUUCCGCAAUGGGCGAAAGCCUGACGGAGCAAUACCGCGUGAGGGAUGACUGCCUAUGGGUUGUAAACCUCUUUUUUCAGGGAGGAAUAAAUGACGUGUACCUGAAGAAUAAGCAUCGGCUAACUCCGUGCCAGCAGCCGCGGUAAUACG
rnacentral:rRNA from 1 species